rnacentral:rRNA from 1 species
UACGGAGGGAGCUAGCGUUGUUCGGAAUUACUGGGCGUAAAGCGCACGUAGGCGGCUUUGUAAGUUAGAGGUGAAAGCCUGGGGCUCAACCCCAGAAUUGCCUUUAAGACUGCAUCGCUUGAAUCCAGGAGAGGUGAGUGGAAUUCCGAGUGUAGAGGUGAAAUUCGUAGAUAUUCGGAAGAACACCAGUGGCGAAGGCGGCUCACUGGACUGGGUAUUGACGCUGGAGGUGACGAAAGCGGUGGGGAGCAAACAGG